rnacentral:rRNA from 1 species
CACGGGGGGAGCAAGCGUUGUUCGGAAUCACUGGGCGUAAAGGGCUCGUAGGUGGCCAACUAAGUCGGACGUGAAAUCCCUCAGCUUAACUGGGGAACUGCGUCCGAUACUGGAUGGCUCGAGUUUGGGAGAGGGAUGCGGAAUUCCAGGUGUAGCGGUGAAAUGCGUAGAUAUCUGGAGGAACACCGGUGGCGAAGGCGGCAUCCUGGACCGGUAUUGACGCUGAGGCGCGAAAGCCAGGGGAGCAAACGGG